rnacentral:rRNA from 1 species
GGAGGGUGCAAGCGUUGUUCGGAAUUACUGGGCGUAAAGCGCGUGUAGGCGGCUGGGCAAGUCGGAUGUGAAAGCCCCGGGCUCAACCCGGGAAAUGCAUCCGAAACUGCUCAGCUAGAGUCUCGGAGGGGAAGGCAGAAUUCCCAGUGUAGGGGUGAAAUCCGUAGAUAUUGGGAAGAAUACCAGCGGCGAAGGCGGCCUUCUGGACGAUGACUGACGCUGAGACGCGAAAGCGUGGGGAGCAAACAGGAUUAGAUACCCUGGUAGUCCACGCCGUAAACGUUGUGCACUAGAUGUCGGGGGGUAUUCACCCCCCUCGGUGUCGCCGCUAACGCAUUAAGUGCACCGCCUGGGGAUACGGCCGCAAGGCUA